AGAGUUUGAUCCUGUCUCAGGACGAACGCUGGCGGCGUGCCUAACACAUGCAAGUCGAACGGAGCUUUUACGACAGAACUCUUCGGAGGGACGAUGCAAAAGCUUAGUGGCGGACGGGUGAGUAACGCGUGAGCAACCUGCCUUUCAGAGGGGGACAACAGUUGGAAACGACUGCUAAUACCGCAUAACAUACCGAGUGGGCAUCCACAUGGUAUCAAAGGAGCAAUCCACUGAAAGAUGGGCUCGCGUCCGAUUAGAUAGUUGGUGAGGUAACGGCUCACCAAGUCGACGAUCGGUAGCCGGACUGAGAGGUUGAUCGGCCGCAUUGGGACUGAGACACGGCCCAGACUCCUACGGGAGGCAGCAGUGGGGAAUAUUGCGCAAUGGGGGCAACCCUGACGCAGCAACGCCGCGUGCAGGAAGAAGGUCUUCGGAUUGUAAACUGUUGUCGCAAGGGAAGAAGACAGUGACGGUACCUUGUGAGAAAGUCACGGCUAACUACGUGCCAGCAGCCGCGGUAAUACGUAGGUGACAAGCGUUGUCCGGAUUUACUGGGUGUAAAGGGCGCGUAGGCGGACUGUCAAGUCAGUCGUGAAAUACCGGGGCUUAACCCCGGGGCUGCGAUUGAAACUGACAGCCUUGAGUAUCGGAGAGGAAAGCGGAAUUCCUAGUGUAGCGGUGAAAUGCGUAGAUAUUAGGAGGAACACCAGUGGCGAAGGCGGCUUUCUGGACGACAACUGACGCUGAGGCGCGAAAGUGUGGGGAGCAAACAGGAUUAGAUACCCUGGUAGUCCACACCGUAAACGAUGGAUACUAGGUGUAGGAGGAAUCGACCCCUUCUGUGCCGCAGUUAACACAAUAAGUAUCCCACCUGGGGAGUACGACCGCAAGGUUGAAACUCAAAGGAAUUGACGGGGGCCCGCACAAGCAGUGGAGUAUGUGGUUUAAUUCGAAGCAACGCGAAGAACCUUACCAAAUCUUGACAUCCCUCUGAAAGACUCUUAAUCGAGUGCCUCCUUCGGGACAGAGGAGACAGGUGGUGCAUGGUUGUCGUCAGCUCGUGUCGUGAGAUGUUGGGUUAAGUCCCGCAACGAGCGCAACCCUUAUCCUCAGUAGCCAGCAGUAAGAUGGGCACUCUGUGGAGACUGCCAGGGAUAACCUGGAGGAAGGCGGGGAUGACGUCAAAUCAUCAUGCCCCUUAUGAUUUGGGCUACACACGUGCUACAAUGGCGUAAACAAAGGGAAGCGAUCACGCGAGUGUGAGCAAAUCUCAAAAAUAACGUCUCAGUUCGGAUUGUAGUCUGCAACUCGACUACAUGAAGCUGGAAUCGCUAGUAAUCGCAGGUCAGCAUACUGCGGUGAAAACGUUCCUCGGGUCUUGCACUCACCGCCCGUCA
rnacentral:rRNA from 1 species